rnacentral:rRNA from 1 species
AUACGGAGGGGGCAAGCGUUGUUCGGAAUUACUGGGCGUAAAGAGUACGUAGGCGGAUCGUUAAGUUAGAGGUGAAAUCCCAGGGCUCAACCCUGGAACUGCCUUUAAUACUGGCGAUCUAGAGAUCGAGAGAGGUGAGUGGAAUUUCCAGUGUAGAGGUGAAAUUCGUAGAUAUUGGAAAGAACACCAGUGGCGAAGGCGGCUCACUGGCUCGAUACUGACGCUGAGGUACGAAAGCGUGGGGAGCAAACAGGAGUAGAAACCCUAGUAGUCC